rnacentral:rRNA from 1 species
UACGUAGGGUGCAAGCGUUGUCCGGAAUUAUUGGGCGUAAAGAGCUCGUAGGCGGUCUGUCGCGUCUGCUGUGAAAACUCAGGGCUUAACCCUGAGCUUGCAGUGGGUACGGGCAGACUAGAGUGCGGUAGGGGAGACUGGAAUUCCUGGUGUAGCGGUGAAAUGCGCAGAUAUCAGGAGGAACACCGGUGGCGAAGGCGGGGUC